AUGUCUAAAGGACCUGCAAUUGGCAUAGAUCUUGACACCACCUACUCCUGUGUGAGUGUCUUCCAGCAUGGAAAAGUGGAAAUAAUUGCCAAUGACCAGGGUAACCACACCAUGCCAAGCUAUGUUGCUUUCACUGACACAGAACAAUUAAUUGGAGAUGCAGCCAAGAAUCAGGUUGCAAUGAACCCCACCAACACAGUUUUUGAUGCCAAAUGUCUGAUCAAUUGUAGGCUUGAUGAUGCUGUUGUUCAGUCUGAUAUGAAGCACUGGCCCUUCGUGGUGGUGAAUGAUGCAGGCAGGCUCAAGGACCAAGUGGAAUAAAAGGGGAGACAAAAAAUUUUUAACUAGAGGAAGUGUCCUCAGUGGUCUGACAAAGAUGAAGGAAAUUGGAGAAGUGUACCUCAGAAAGACUGUUACCAAUGCCACGGUCACAGUGCCAGCUUACUUCAAUGACUCUCAGUGGCAGGCAUCAAAAGAUGCUGGAACUAUUGCUGGCCUCAAUGUACUUCAAAUUCUCAUUAAACCAAUUGUUGCUGCUGUUGCUUAUGGCUUUGAUAAGAAGGUCAGGGCUAAAAGGAAUGUGCUGGUUUUUGACUUGGGAGGUGGUACUUUUGAUGUGUCAGUCCUCGCUAUUGAGGAUGAAAUUAUUUGAAGUCAAAUCAAUGGCUGGAGACAUCCACUUGGGUAAAAAAGAUUUUGACAACUGAAUGGUCAACCAGUUUAUUGCUGAGUUUAAGCAAAAGCACAAGAAGGACAUCAGCAUCUCAACACUGCCUGUGCAAGGGCCAAGUGCACCCUCUCCUCCAGCACUAAUGCCAGUAUUGAGAUUGAUUCUCUGUAUGAGGGAAUUGAGUUCUAUAUCUCCAUUACCUGGUCUCGAUUUGAGGAAUUGAAUGCUGGCCUAUUCUGUAGUACACUUUACCCUGUAGAGAAGAACCUUCGAGAUGCCAAACUCAACAAGUCACAAAUCCAUGAUAUUGUCUUGCUGGUUGGUUCAACUAGAAUCCCCAAGAUUCAGAAACUUCAGCAAGACUUCUUCAAUGGAAAAUAACUGAAUAAGAGCAUUAACCUCUGAUGAAGCUGUUGCCUAUGGUGCAGCUGUCCAGGCAGCCAUUCUAUCUAGAGACAAAUCUGAGAAUAUUCAGGAUUUACUGCUCUUGGAUGUCACUCCUCUUUCCCUUGGUCUUGAAACUAGUGGUGGACUCAUGACUGUCCUCAUCAAGUGCAAUACCACCAUUCCCACCAAGCAGACACAGACUUUUACCACCUACUUUUACAACCAUCUAGGUGUACUCAUUCAGGUAUAUGAGGGUGAAAGGGCCAUGACAAAGGACAACAACCUGCUUGGAAAGUUUGAGCUCACAGGCAUACCUCCAGCACCUUGUGAAGUUCUUCAGAUUGAGGUUACUUUUGACAUUGAUGCUAAUGGUAUCCUCAAUGUUUCCACUAUAGAUAAGAGCACAGAAAAGGAGAACAGGAUCACCAUCACCAAUGACAAGGGCCGCUUGACUAAGGAGGAUAUUGAGCGCAUGGUCCAAGAAGCUAAGAAGUACAAAGCUGAGGAUGAGAAGCAGAGAGAUACAGUUUCCUCCAGGAAUUCACUGGAGACCUAUGCCUUCAACAUGAAAGCAACUGUUGAAGAUGAGAAACUUCAAGGCAAGAUCAAGGAUGAGGACAAACAGAAGAUUCUUGACAAGUGCAAAUGGAAAUCAUCAGAUGGCUGAAUAAGAAACAGACAGCAGAGAAGGAAGAAUUUGAGUAUCAGCAGACAGAACUGGAGAAAGUCUGCAACCCUAUCAUUACCAAACUGUAA